UAUUUCAAUUUUCACCAGACGACUGAAAUGUAAGUCGUCCGGGAAAGUCAAACUUCUGAAAUAGUCCAGUCAAAUGCAAAACUAACAUAUGACCACUGAAAUGUAAGUCGUCUAGGUUCUUUGGAGAUUUUUUUGUAACCAAACAAAAUCAGACAACUUAACUUUCAGUCGUCUCAGAAAACAUAUUUCAAAGUCAGUUGCAAAAAUAACCUCUGCGUUGACAAGACGACUUUCAGGUAAGUUGUCUGGACGAACAGAUCUGGAAAAAAACUCGAUUUCAUACCUUAAAUUGGUGAGAUAACUUCCUUAGCACACAUAAGGCUUCUCCAAGAACACAUAAUCUUAAACGAAAGUGACCCACCCAGAAUCGUUAGCUUCUUUGACUCUAUGAACCAUAAAAAAAUGUAGAAUCAAAAUCUUGGGGUUUUUUAGCUUAAUGUGGAAAGAAAGUGAGAGAGAUGUUGUGUUUAGUUCAUAAGAAUGGAGAAAGAAGAAUGGUAAAUCAAUUUUGGGAGCAUUAAGAGCUUCAAAUUGGUUGUUCAUGCUGGUUAGGAUAUUGAUGACAAUGACAAUCUUGAAGAUGAUGAGGGUGAGAGAGUAAAAAUAUCAUUUUCGAAAAAAAAAAAAAAAAAAAAUUUAUGGCAUUUUCAUGAAUUAUAUGAACUUGUGGGAUGAAUAAAGCAUAACUAAUUUCCAAAAAAAAAAGAGGUUAAUUUUGUGUUUGACUGUAUGUAAAUUUUGAAAAAAACCCUUUAUUGAUUGGGGAAAGUAAUGCUAAUACAUUUAAGCAAAAACUUUAUCCGCCAUUAAAUUGCGUAGCUAGCAUUAACUCUGCGAAUAUUGCUUGAAAUUUUAUGGAAUAAGCGAUAAUCAUGGUUUGAUCUGAUUAUUUAAUUUUCUUUUAUUUGGAAAGUCAAAUAGUGAAUCUUCUAAAAAUGGAAAUUAUGAUUGAAUCGUUGAAAAAUUUAAAGUCAAAGUUCUUGUUUUGAAAACAUAAUUACAAAUUAUUAAUAACAAAAAUGGAAGAUUUAUUUAUAUAUAACUAUAUAUAUAUGUAAUUAAGACCAUAAACUCUGUUCAUAAGAAGCUUAAAGUUAUAUUUUCAAAACGAAAGGAAAUCAAGACAAAAAGUUGCUACAACCUAUAAUGACGACCAAGAAAAUGUCAUCCCUUUUAUUAUUUUCGCUGAUGGUCUUUAUCCUCGUAUCUCUACCUAUAAUUUCAGGGGAUGAAUGUACACCGAAGGGGCCAUGUGAAGACACCAAGAAAUGCAAUAUCUAUUGUUUAUUGCUGGGUUUCAAAUAUGGGGGAUUUUGUGAUACAUAUGGGACUACGUUUUGUUGUUGCAUAACAUCUAAAACUCCUCCUAUAUCCAGUCUUCCUGAACACUAAUUAUUUUAAUCAAUAUGUACCCAAAAUAUACAUUCAAAUAUGAUACUCGUAUUUAUAUUACAUCGCUUAAAAUUUACGAUUAUCAAUUUUAUUUUGUUUACAAUCUAAUAAACUCAAUAAAACUACAAGAGAGCGUGAAAUUCAAACCUUUAAAGAUAAACAUUUAGCCACAUUAACAUUCACAACUCUCUUGUAAGAUGUAAAUCCAGCGAGCGAGUUAAAUCAUUAACAUUGACACCUCUAUUUCUUAUAAGAUGAAGAAACGUAUGUUUCAAGAAACCAGCAAUGCUUCGUUAACAAGGCAAAAACAUAAGCAACCUGCUUGGCCUCGUAACCCAAAAACCACGAGCCUUGUCGGGACGAGUAGGUCAUGACGAGAUUGACAACCGAAGGUUGCUGUCUGUACUCUCGGCAAGCACCUCACCCUCUUCACAAAACCUCAUAACAUCGGCUGCUUCUUUCUCCACAUACUUGUUCUGCACACCAACAAUGAGAUACUUGCCUUAGGGAAUCUUAGAGAGAUGGAGAGUGAGAAUUACACAAAUGAUUGAAUCUAGAAAGCUAAACUACUUACUCUGUUUCUUCAAAACAGAGAGAUGAACACGUCCAAUCACCUGAUGCCAGCUGUCCUCUUUCUUCGAUUGUAACGACCUCUCCAACUAACUCUCAUCUCCACUUAUUCGCUGCCACCUGUCGUCUCUUGCUUAACUGUAUCAACAACAAAAGAGAUGUAGUGUUUGGUGUAUGUUCAAAUCCAACAUGCAUCCCAACAUUUUUUGUAGACACAAAAAAGUUAUUGUAUGUAUCCCCUAUAUAUUAUUUAAGAAGCAUUACAACAUUUUUUGUAGACAGAUGUCAUCAUUAGAAUGAUUAUUAGAAUCUUUAGAGAAAUAAGUUGGUCCCUCUAAAUAUAUAAUAAUAUUUUUAAUAAAUUAACCAUAAAUACAUUUUUAAUGUGCUUCAUUAUUUCCUUAAAUAAAAUUAUGGAAUUUCCUAAUGUGGCUAAAAUAUAUAUGACAAUUAAUGAUUU